CUCGUGUUUAUAUCAGUCGCUGCUGGCGCUGUCGGUGGGGUUGUGUUUAUGUUCGUGGCUGGCUCACAAUGUCGCUACCACCAAAGAGAUGUGGAAGGCCCCCGGUGCUGUCUUUUCUGGAAAAGAAAAAGAGAAAGCAAAGUCUUGAUAGAAGAAGGGGGAAAACAAGGAUUUAUGUGGGAAAUCACAUUGACCGAUGGUUGGCACUUAAGGAAAAGUUAGAUUUCAGAAACGAUGCAGAAGUUGCAGGGUUUUUGCUGGACUUGUAUGACAGCUGUGACCCAUUGUUGAAAGCUCCAAUCUGUUCCCUCUCUCGGGGUAUGAGAAGAAUUACUGUGAAAGAAGAAAAAGCAUUGCCAGGCAGAGCUUCUUUGGUAGCAGCUGAUAGAAUGUAUGACAAUGACGAUCAGUUGUCUGAAGAAUCUGCUUGUUCUGGCCUUGGAGAUGUGAGAAUUGUAACUGUGAAAGAAGAGGGGGAGAUGCUGCUUGACUGCUCAUCCACAGAGAAGGAUGACAUUGCCGUGCUCAAGAGGCAACCACACCGUCAGUCGACUGCUGAUUUCUUUUACUGCAGUGUCAUCAGUAACUGAGACAUUCACAUUUGAGAUCAGAGGAGCCUCAAAUAGGGGUCCACUGAGAACAUGGGACAUGACGCUGGCAUUGCAUGGUGUGUUCAAAUCUCUCACUAACAUGGUGAAUAGGUGAAGAAGUUGGGGUUCUGAAAGCACUUCUGUGGCACAGAAGAAUGUAUGAAGCUAGGUCAGGAGAAAAUAAAGUGUUGGGGAAGCUGGCAAGCUCAAGUACAUUCUUCAAAAUGCCAUUUUUCUCUGGCAAUAUAAUGUUAGUUUGGAGUACAGCAAUAAUUGAAUUCCUGGGACUGAUUUGAUACAGGUGAGACAGGGUUUGUUCUUAAUUGAUUGCUUAUUUCAGCCGUCUGAGACAUGAGAAAUACUGUGAAAAGUUGUUUGGUAUAAGAAAAACUUCUGUUUAACCUAAAAGGUAAGAUAUAUGAGGCUUUGUUACAUAUCUAUGUGAAGAUGUUGAAUUACACUGAGUAUGUAAAAUGCUGGACAAAUGAUCGGGCAAGUAUGCAGUCAUAAUUGUAUAAUGCUAAGAAACGACAGCUGCCUAAGAAGAGAUUAGAAAAUAAGAAGGAAGUUUUAUGGGACAGACAUCCUAGGUCACACUGUGUUAUUCUAGGGAAUAUUUACCUACCAGGAGUUGUUGAGUGACCUCUAUAAGGGUAUUGUUUUGUUUCAUUGUCUAAACACUACAUUACUGGUUAUGUGUCUGGAUUCGGUUUUCAUUGACAGUAUAGCAUUGAGGUAGCUUGAUGUUAUUGAGGGUUUCUUACAGUCUGUGGGAUAUCCAUAUUGGUGAUUUGCCCAAAGUCAUGUUGGUAGGUGAACUUGGGCCUUUAGAGUAAGACUAAAUUCUAUUGCUGACUUGGUGAUUUUUAGAUGGGCAGCCAAAAUUUUCACUUGUAGAAAACAGUGACUUUCCUUUGGAAAGGAACAGUGGUUAUGUUAAUGUAUACCUUUUUUUUCUUCUUGUUUUUAAAGGUGUGGUACUGGACUUCCUGUUGAAGGGUGGAGGUGAAGGCAGGUAUUUCCUGCUUUCCAGGAAUUUGGGUGUCAUGUUUUCCUGUUGCUGUUAUUGUUUUCGGCCUUACGGGGUAUACUUCUUGUUCUAUGCUGCUAGUUUUAGGUUGGCUGAACACUAAUUGUAAGGAUCUGGAAAUAUCAGAGAUAAUGGAGCAAGAACACAAAACUUGCCUGCUUCUUUGGUGGCUUUGAUGUUUGGUUUCUGUCUUGGCUUUGUACUCUUGCCUUAUGAUGCUAGCUUUCAGAGAUUGCUGUUGUAGAGAAUUAACUUAAUGGAGAAACACUGAGGGAGUCAAGCAUCAGGAUGUCAAGGUUCUUGCCAGAUGAAAUGGCAUGGGUUUUCUGGGUUCUGGCUGUUAUGAAGAGUUGAAAUAACACAGGAAGAGGAGAAUGUUCAGAAAUCCGAUUUAAAGUAUUAUUGGCAGGGUAUAGCCAAAGGAACGUGUUACUGAGCCAUGUCCAGUUAGGUUCUUGAGUACAUCCAGUUCUCUAAUGCUUCUUCUGUUGUGAAUAUCCAACUUUAACAUUUAGCAUAUUAACCAAUCUGGAUGCAAAUGAUUUUUCUGGUUUGCAUGUAACAAAACAAAAAUGUCAAAGCAGAUAAUAAAUGAUUCAUUGGUUUUUCUUUAAUGUUUAUUAUUUACUCUGACAUUAAAAUUGGAGAAUGAUGAACCAAAAUACUUGAAUAGGAUUUUUUGAGGGAACUUUGAGGAAUUUGAGAUUCUUCUGCAAUAUUUGAGUGAUAGCGAUCAAAACUUUCCUUUGCCUGUUCUUUUAUUGAUGAAACAGAUUCUUAUGGUAGAACUGACUGUCCUAGGACUUGAUUCUGGGAAGUAUCUAAGAACAGAAAAGGAAUACAAAUACAAAAUAAAUACUUGAAAGUGUCACAGCAGUUUGGCGAGGAAAACUGAAACCUGUAGGGUGAGUUGGUGUCAGUCAGUAGUAACUGAUAAACUGGGAAGACCUGACUUUGAAGGCAGGCUUCAGCUUCAGUUCCUGUCUCAUCUAAAAUGGUAGUGGCAAUUCCUUUCAUAACGAUCUUUUGCUGAAUGGCUUUCCUCAGAAUCCUGGGAUCUGGCAUGAGUCUGCAUUGCAGAAUGUAUCUGAAGUAACCUGUUGUCUGAAAAGUUGCAUGGUUACUGUUCAGACAAAGCAUUUGUGAAGUGUUCAUUCCUUACCUCAGAAAGAAACUAAACAAUCAUGAGGAAGAGUCUAGCAAUCUGUUAAUGCUGGAGACUUAGCAUGACACUAGUGUGAGCAGCUGAGGACUUUCUUAGCAAGCAGGAAAGAAAAACUUACAUUACAUUUCAAAGAAAGAGAGGGAAAAAAACCCCAAACCAAACCCACGUGAUUAACCUGCUUAGUAGGACAGUUUCCUGUGUUCUACCAACAAAUUCAUUUUUGAUGCUUUGAGUAGUCUGCAUUCAGAAUCUCCAAGUUGGCCAAAGCAUAAAAUAGCUAUUAUUAAACAAACUAAAAGGUUCUGCAUGUACUGCUUUUGGUCUUUAGUGUUCAUAGGUAGUUUUUAAUUAAAAAAAAACAAACCCAAACCAACAACCAGCCAAACACCCCACCCCCCAGGCCACAGCCUGUGAUUAUUUCACUAAUGUAACUUGAAGCAAAUGUGUAAUCUGGCUCUUCCUUACAGAAAAUUAAGGUUGAGUGGUUAGGGUGACAGGUAAUUUACUGUAAUGCUAAAUGUUGAUCUGUGUUUCACUAUAGUAAACUCUGUGUAUAUAUGUCAUAAAAACAUGUUGGUCUGAUUAUAGGUAUUGCAGAUGCAAAAACACUAAUGGAAUGAUUGUAAUAUUUUCCGUUAUUUUAAAGCUAGAAUAUUCUAUGAGGGGAGUGCACUUGCCUAGACAGACACUGUGAAACAAUGCAAACAUAUUUCCUAUUUAGACAUUUGAAUGGCAUCUUGUAACUGUUGUCAUUAUGUUACUUUCCAGGGUGAGCAGCAAGAAGAAAAUCAAGCUCUUGUAUAAGACUACUGGGGCAGUUUUGGUCCAUUUUGAUUUUGCUGUGAGGGUAUUGUGAACUGUAAAGGAUUACUGUAAGUUGUAGUAUGAAAUCCCAUGUUACUUGUUGAACAGCACAUUAAACUUAAUUACCUGAAGUUUUACUGUAUUAUGCUAGCAUUAAUAAAGGGUGUGGAGUGGAUUAUUUCACUGCGAGAUUCUGUACGUAGAUCUCUGAAGGGCAGCAAGAAACAACAAGCCAAAAUGCUGGUAGGUAUUGCUCAAGCUUAUUCAGAAUUUAUUAACUUCUGUAGGUUUUGUUAAUGAAAAAGUUCCAUUUUAUUUAAAACUCAUAGGGUUAAAACACAAGCAACAUCCUGGUAGCAGUUGCAGCAUCAAGCAUGCUUCCAUCUCAAAUGUCUUUCUUGGAAUGCUCAUUUUAGGGAGCAAAUUUAACGUAUCCCACAUCCUGGAAGGUAUUCUUGCAGUUUAUUGGUGCACUUAAAAUGAUGGGUAAAAAUAUAUAGUGUGUUGUGUUAGUGCCUUCUGAAAAAUGAGUACUCAAUAUCAGCUACUACUUAGUUAUCUAAAUAUAUUUCAUUAUUGACUAAUCUGAUCUCUUGAUUUGCCUUUUGAUAUAUGAUGCUUCUUAAUUAUUUCCUUCUCUUAACAAAGAUGAAAUGAGUGUGGAGAACUUUUAGUAACUCAAGUUCAACAGAAUACAGUUGGCAGUUCUGAAUUUUUGUAGUUACCAAGUAUGGUUAAUCCUGGCAAGUUUUUAACUGAGCAAUUGUGAAAUGAGCAUGACUGUAUUCAAUAUAUGUUUGUCAGAAAGUCAGAAACUCUCAAGCUUCUGGUUUUUGUUGUCUUUAACCACACACAUUCAUAAGCAUGUAGGUCUUGAUCUUACGGUAUUCAAACCAGCUGGGUUUUCCCAUAAACUUACAUUAGAACAGCUUCCCUCUGUGGAGAAAUUCCCCUGAUUAGGUCAUUACACUCAACAUUCAGUUUCUUCAACGAGCUGCUUCACCUGCUAUAAUAAACUGCUGCUUUGAACUAUUGUUGCUUUUGAAGUAUCAAAAUUUACUGUGUUGCCAUACUAACAAUCUGUCUUUUGCCAAAUGUUGUACAGAUAGCUCUU